ensembl:snRNA U2 U2 spliceosomal RNA
GUCCUUUCUUUGGUUUUUGGCCUAAGAUGAGGGGAAUAUCUGUUGUUAUAAUUUAACUUUUGAUAAGUCUUCUAUCUGAGGUUAAUUUAUCAAGUGGGAUUUUAGAACGGGGAGAUUAAAUAGAAGCUUGCUCCAUACAUUCCAAAAAUUAAUCUGGUGUUGCAGUUUCCCAUGAGUGUUGCAGUUUUC